rfam:Pongo abelii chromosome 5.
GUCUUUGGCCAUACCAUCCUGAACAUGCCUGGUCUCGUCUGAUCUCGGAAGCUAAGUAGGGUCGGGCCUGGUUCGUACCUGGAUGGGAACAUAAGGAGGAAUGAGAAAAUCAGUCACUUAUUAUU